GAAAGCUAUGGAGGUGUAGACAUGGUCUACGUAGGCCGGUUCAAAUGUGCGCAUACAUGUUCUUGCUUAAACCAUCCUCUCGCUCACGGGCCUGUGUUUUUUCUGAUGGAGUGAAAUGCGGAGCGUUCGCUCCCAAUGUGGGGAAACUUUGCUGAGUCUGAGAGUCAACGGGAGAAAGUCUGGAAUCCUCGGAUUACAUCAUCGCCCAUGAUGUCAUCCUUCUAGGGUGACUUUGGCACGUGAGACUGAUCAAGCGGAGUCAAGCCCAGAUUUUACUCCAAAGUCUCGACACGCCAUCAAUAAACGGCUUCAGGGUGAUCUGUGGCCACCUCUGUCCAGCCCCAGCACUGUUCCUGUCUGUCCAAAACUCUCGGACGGCACCACCUGAUUGGAUGUUUCCCGUCCUCCUCUGACGAUGGUCCAGUGAUGGAUGGCAGGCCCGGUGUGACUUGAUUGAAGACAGCCUAUUGAAGGCAGCUUCUACAAGAUGCCGGUGUUCACAAUUUGUUUCCACUGACGGUACAUUUGGUCACUCUAGGGCUUUUUAAACAUGUGCCCCUCCUCCAUCAAAAUAAACAAGGCUGCACCCAUGUCGUGUGACAGAGAGUUCUGCUUUAUCAGUCAAUCUGUAAACAAACUCUCUCUGUGCCACUUUUCAGCUCAGGACAAAUGCACUGAUGAAAGCUUAGCAAAAGAGUAUGGCAGGAGUUUUUUUCUCCCAUUUAUAUUUAAACAGCUUUUAACCAUAGCUUGGCCAGAAACAUACAUGUGCACUCACAACUAGAACACUGGUUGUCAGAAGCAACAGUAGGUUUCAAGUGAGUGGGUGUGUAAAUGUGUGUUUACACAUGUGUGUCUUUACGUUGUGUGUGCGUGUCUGUGUGUGUGUG